AACGCCCGGUCACAUUCCGAACCCGGAAGCUAAGCCUGACAGCGCCGAUGGUACUGCACUGGGAACGGUGUGGGAGAGUAGGACACCGCCGGAC
rfam:Serinicoccus sp. CNJ-927 NODE_22_length_43624_cov_271.456_ID_47, whole genome shotgun sequence.